UACGGAGGGUGGCGAGCGUUGUCCGGAAUCACUGGGCGUAAAGAGCUCGUAGGCGGUUUGUUACGUCCGCUGUGAAAACCCAGGGCUUAACCCUGGGCUUGCAGUGGAUACGGGCAGACUAGAGGCAGGUAGGGGAGAAUGGAAUUCCCGGUGUAGCGGUGAAAUGCGCAGAUAUCGGGAGGAACACCGGUGGCGAAGGCGGUUCUCUGGGCCUGACCUGACGCUGAGGAGCGAAAGCGUGGGGAGCGAACAGG
rnacentral:rRNA from 1 species